CUCUCUAAAAAAAACACUUUUCUAGAGUUCUCUCACUUCUCUCUACAAAUUAUUAUUCCUCAAUCAUCUGUUCGACGAUCAGGGAGUGCCUAAACGAUCCUUGCGUCGAGGGCUACAAUUUCUACCGAUCAAUUUCCUGUUUUGAGUCAGUAAGUUUGUUUCCCUCUUUCUUCUCAAUUUCUUGAACUGUGAGCAUGCAACAAAUUGUGUUUGCAUGUAUCUAAUAGCUUUUCUCUUCAAUUUCUAGCUCAAUUUAGGUUCUAAGAUUUCUCUCCAAUCACCAAUUGGUGAGUUGUAGGUUUUGUAGAGUUUCCUUGCGCUACAAGCAUCGGUCGGGAUUUUCUAGAGC
rnacentral:lncRNA from 1 species